CCUACGGGAGGCAGCAGUGGGGAAUUUUGGACAAUGGGGGCAACCCUGAUCCAGCAAUGCCGCGUGUGUGAAGAAGGCCUUCGGGUUGUAAAGCACCUUUGUCCGGAAAGAAAUCGCGCUGGUUAAUACCUGGCGUGGAUGACGGUACCGGAAGAAUAAGCACCGGCUAACUACGUGCCAGCAGCCGCGGUAAUACGUAGGGUGCGAGCGUUAAUCGGAAUUACUGGGCGUAAAGCGUGCGCAGGCGGUUUUGUAAGACAGGCGUGAAAUCCCCGGGCUUAACCUGGGAAUUACGCUUGUGACUGCAAGGCUAGAGUGCGUCAGAGGGGGGUAGAAUUCCACGUGUAGCAGUGAAAUGCGUAGAGAUGUGGAGGAAUACCGAUGGCGAAGGCAGCCCCCUGGGACGUGACUGACGCUCAUGCACGAAAGCGUGGGGAGCAAACAGGAUUAGAUACCCUGGUAGUCCACGCCCUAAACGAUGUCAACUAGUUGUUGGGGAUUCAUUUUCUCAGUAACGUAGCUAACGCGUGAAGUUGACCGCCUGGGGAGUACGGUCGCAAGAUUAAAACUCAAA
rnacentral:rRNA from 1 species